AACGAACGCUGGCGGCAUGCCUAACACAUGCAAGUCGAACGAUCCCUUCGGGGAUUGUGUCGCACGGUUGCGUAACGCGUGGGAACCUUCCCUUAGGUUCGGACUAACUCAGAGAAAUUUGAGCUAAUACCGGAUAAUGUCUUCGGACCAAUGAUUUAUUGCCUUUGUUUGUGCCCGCGUUGGAUUCGCUAGUUGUUAGGGUAAUGGCAUACCCAGGCGACGAUCCAUAGCUGGUCUGAGAGGAUGAUCAGCGACACUGGGACUGAGACACGGCCGAGACUCCUACGGGAAGCAGCAGUGGGGAAUAUUGGACAAUGGGCGAAAGCCUGAUCCAGCAAUGCCGCGUGAGUGAUGAAGGUCGUAGGGUUGUAAAGCUCUUGUACCCGGGAUGAUAAUGACAGUACCGGGAGAAUAAGCCCCGGCUAACUCCGUG
rnacentral:rRNA from 1 species